GAUGAAGAACGUAGCGAAAUGCGAUAAGUAAUGUGAAUUGCAGAAUUCAGUGAAUCAUCGAAUCUUUGAACGCACAUUGCGCCCCUUGGUAUUCCGAGGGGCAUGCCUGUUCGAGCGUCAUUAUAACCCGUCAAGCUCAGCUUGGUGUUGGGGCCUGCUGCACUGGCAGCCCUUAAAAUCAGUGGCGGCGCCAUCUGGCUCUAAGCGUAGUAAUUCUUCUCGCUAUGGAGUCCUGGUGGAUGCUUGCCAUCAACCCCCAAUUUUUCUAUGGUUGACCUCGGAUCAGGUAGGGAUACCCGCUGAACUUAAGCAUAUCAAUAAGCGGAGGA
rnacentral:misc_RNA from 1 species